rnacentral:rRNA from 1 species
GUCGAACGGCAGCACGGGGGCAACCCUGGUGGCGAGUGGCGAACGGGUGAGUAAUACAUCGGAACGUGUCCUGUAGUGGGGGAUAGCCCGGCGAAAGCCGGAUUAAUACCGCAUACGCUCUACGGAGGAAAGGGGGGGAUCUUAGGACCUCUCGCUACAGGGGCGGCCGAUGGCAGAUUAGCUAGUUGGUGGGGUAAAGGCCUACCAAGGCGACGAUCUGUAGCUGGUCUGAGAGGACGACCAGCCACACUGGGACUGAGACACGGCCCAGACUCCUACGGGAGGCAGCAGUGGGGAAUUUUGGACAAUGGGCGCAAGCCUGAUCCAGCAAUGCCGCGUGUGUGAAGAAGGCCUUCGGGUUGUAAAGCACUUUUGUCCGGAAAGAAAUCCUUUGGCCUAAUACGUCGGGGGGAUGACGGUACCGGAAGAAUAAGCACCGGCUAACUACGUGCCAGCAGCCGCGGUAAUACGUAGGGUGCAAGCGUUAAUCGGAAUUACUGGGCGUAAAGCGUGCGCAGGCGGUUCGCUAAGACAGAUGUGAAAUCCCCGGGCUUAACCUGGGAACUGCAUUUGUGACUGGCGGGCUAGAGUAUGGCAGAGGGGGGUAGAAUUCCACGUGUAGCAGUGAAAUGCGUAGAGAUGUGGAGGAAUACCGAUGGCGAAGGCAGCCCCCUGGGCCAAUACUGACGCUCAUGCACGA